rnacentral:rRNA from 1 species
UAAUCUCUGUAGAGUCUGCACUAUCAAUAAGCGGAGGAAAAGAAACUAACUAGGAUUCCCUUAGUAACGGCGAGUGAAGCGGGAAGAGCUCAAAUUUGAAAUCUUCAAGGUUCUACCUUGACGAAUUGUAGUUUAAAGAAGUGUUUUCUGUUGGAGUUUUGGUAAAAGUUCUUUGGAAUAGGACAUCAUAGAGGGUGAGAAUCCCGUAUUUGACCAUUAUCUUUCCAGCUUUGUGAUACACUUUCAAAGAGUCGGAUUGUUUGGGAAUGCAGUCCAAAAUGGGUGGUAAAUUUCAUCUAAAGCUAAAUAUUGGCGAGAGACCGAUAGCGAACGAGUACCGUGAGGGAAAGAUGAAAAGAACUUUGAAAAGAGAGUUAAACAGUACGUGAAAUUGUCAAAAGGGAAGCGUUUGACACCAGUGUUGUUUUCUCGAAAAUCAAUUAAAAAAGGCAGGAUUUUGUGUUGUAUUGACUUUAUCAGCUUUCUGCACUCUUUUCUUGUCUUUUUUUAAUGCACUUUUCGUUUAACAAGUCAACAUCAAUUUCUUUUGUUGUAAAAGGGUCAUUGGAAGGUGGCUUUCUUUUCGGAGAAAGUGUUUAUAGCCUUUGGCCUCUGCAAUCGGAGAGAUUGAGGUCUGCAGCGUAGAUCCUUCGGGGUUAGAUACAUUUGUGCUAAGUUAUAGCCUUUCAUAGACAACUUGUUGACUAUGAUCAGUCAUGUAGCUUACUCGCUUAUGCUAUUUUACCUACGCUUAGGAUGUUGAUAGUCACAGCGUGUAC